GGACAGAGACAGAGGAAUCUGGAAAUUUGGAAUGAGGACUUGGGCAGGAGUUUCAAGGUUUGGCAGUCUGGGCUCCUGUGCUUCUGGCUUUUUUUGGGUGAAAGCCCAACUGUCCUGAGAGUCCUAUUAGAAGUAAAGUUGAGAGUUUUUUCUGGCUCUGGGCUGAAUCACUGGGGCUGGGGUUCCUGUGGCUUCAGGGCAGAGAACUGAAAUAUCAGGAAACUCUGACUCUGGAACAGUCUUAAUGGCAGGAGUUCCCCACAGCUGUGAACUCCACAAAUCCAGUCACUGUAGCAGCUCCUCUGGUAAUGAAGAAGGAAAACUGCUGGAAUGGUUUCAUUAAAGUGUCUUGUGGUUAUUCAGAAGUUUAUAAAACCUUUAUAUUUUUGCGUAUAUUUCUGUUUGUGAUGUAACAGAAUUUUUUCAGUUGGUCAAAACAUUUCUGGUUGGCUCUCCCCACCCUAUACUAUAGCCCACAUAAUUUCAUGAGGUUGAGAAUAACAUGUCGCUUGUCUUUGCAUACCACAAAUACAAGGUGUGAAAGCUGGUACAGCAUGAAUGAACAGGGCUUGUUAGGAUAUUUUUUAUGGGAAAAUAGGUGCCCAGACAGUCACAGAAAGGUUUUUAGGGUAUGCCUUUACCACAGAUUUCCCCAUGGCUCUUACAAAUCUUCUAACCCGGCUGAAGCCACCUGGAUCAUUUGAGUCUGUAAACUAAUGGGUCUCCUCUCUACACAAGACUUCAAAAAACCCUGAUUCCCAUCUGUGUACAAAAGCAGUAUUGGACUGAUGUUAACUCCACUUGAUUGGCUCAUCAGGGAUUAAGACCUGCAGAUUGUUUUAGCACAUCACGGCAGCUGCUAACACAAACCUUCAAUUACGUGUGUUCAGUUUUGCAAUGAGGGCUGGUCUAACUAGGAGGCAGAUAAAGCAAAGCAUUUUGUGAGGGAAUGAAGACUCAAGAGGCCCUCUUGCCUAUAGCCUGCAUACUUUCACUACCUGCUGUAAUUCACCUCAACAGCGGGUCUCUAUUUAUGUGUGUUACAAAGAGACAAAGGAAGCUGCUGUGGGAAAAAUCUUUCUUUCCUGCCAGGGACUGUGGUAAUCCCACUCCGUACUGCAGUUUACAAGCCACGUGUAUGUUGUGCCUUGCUCCAGUGUUUGAAGUAUCCAUAACUUGCUUUAGGAACAAUUUGCAUAAGAUGUCAACAGGGGAACUCUGAAAUACUUGUAAUACUUACCAAAGUAAUAAAGGUCUUUCUGAAUAAGUGAUAUUGUGCAUGCCAGAACUACAUAAUGGACUUAAAUAUUUGAGCCUAGUAUUCUUUGUAGCCUGCUGAGUGCGGGGAUGGAAUUUUUCCCUGGCAGUGUUAAAAGUAAACUGUCAGGAGGCUCUGCUGUGAGCUGCCCGAUGACUGGGAUGUCAGACAGGAUUCCACAGGUUUUCCCUGUGUUGAUGCAGCGCAUGUGCAUUUACCUUAGUUCCACAGAUCAGUGUGAGUCAAUUCCUAUUGUGAGCUUCCUAUUUGAUGUGGAAGCUUGGGGAAGUUCUUUGUUGUAGCUUUUGUAUAAUACAUGAUAAGGCACCAUGUAGAGUAUUGCUGCAUAUCAGGCAUAUAUGCUACAUUAAAUUGAGGCUACUUUACAAACAAUAAAAAAAACUUUUCUCACACAGAUGGAAAAUAACAGUGGAGUCAGCAACCAUUGCCAUGUAUUUUUCUGGAACUGCAUGUGUCCAAUUCAUAUGUGUGAUGCAGCUUUCAGAAAGAUGUCUCUAGUUCAGUACCAUCAUUUAUCUUUUGGAAAGUAAGGAGUUUGCCUCUCUUACAAAUGCUCUUUGGUGCAUUGUUCUCACAGCUACCCAGGGCUCUGGCACACGGGGUGUGUACCUGGCAUUCCUGCUCAGCCCCGUGCUAACAGCCUGCCCCAAAUCAGUCAUUCUGCUGUGUUAAGUGAGUCCGAGUGGUGCCAAAUGCUGCCUCACAUUUCUGGCAUCACACUUGACUCUGCAGGCUGGUGUGCACUUCUGUGCAGUGUCAUACAAACAUCAGGCCAGCAUUUCCAGGUGCCUGUCCAGCCUCCACUGACCUGUGGUUUUAAAUUUUAUCCUCUCUUUUCUUUACUUUUUCAGUCUUGUUUCCGUGAAGGGGCAUUAGGAACAUUGUGUUACCAGCCUGAAUCCUGACCAGAUGAGUCUGGAGAGGAUUAAAGCUGUAGCCUGAGUCCCAGUCAUGUAAAGAAAAAGCUGGUGAAAGCAGGGAGGGAGUCAUGAAGGACAUAAACAGGACAACUCUGGAAAAACAACUUGAUGGGGAUGCAGUCCUGUGCUUCUUUCUUACUGAUCCUUAUUUUAGAAAUUUCUGGAAUAGGAUUCCACACUGUAUCUUGGGAUCCAUCCAGCAGCAUGAGAGAAUUCUGAAAAGGUGUAACAUGAGUUAAUUAUGAUUUUUUUACAUCCUUUCUCAAUGCAGACAUCAAUUCACUCACUGAUAGCCAACACCCUUGGCUGUGUGGCUUUUGGCUGAGAUGGUGAGGAGUGCUGCAACCCAAGUGUGAUUCCAUCGCCAACUCCAUCAGUGCUUCAUACUGAGAAUGGGGAGAGUCCACCAAAUCCAAAGAACUCUGGAGUGAUUCUUCUUCAGUUUGUUGUCCUGGAUACUUUGCAUUCCCUAUGUCCUGCAGAAAGGAGUGUCUCUUUUUUGCUGUUGCUCUGUUGUUGUUGUUUCCCUCCCCAGCUCCCCACCUACCCCGCAGAACCAAGUGUUUCUCAGUGGAAUUCACCUUGCCGAAGAGCAAGGCUUUUCAGGGCUCCUGGCCUGCUGCACAAACACAGGCACAGGCUGCUUGUGUUGUUUUAGCUAACAGUUCAAGUAUCCCAGCAAGUCCUACUUAAUAACCUAUCUGAUAAGGCUUGAUUGUGCUUCACUGUGUUUAAAUUUCUUGGGGAGCUGUUUAGAUGAUUAAAGUGCUCCAGUUCCUGCAUUUGUAUAAAACUCCAAAAUUAUAAAACACAGCCUUUAGUGCCUCAAGGUCUCAGAUGAUUGAAAUACCAAAAGGAUUUGCAUAUUGAAGUAUUUUACUCAGUAUCUCAAUAUUGGCAUAGAUGAUCCAUUGUGUAAAUAAUAUCUGUUUAUGCUUUGCUUUCUGUGUUACUUUUUCUUGGUGUGACUGUUAAAUAGAACAGUCAGAAAGCAAUUUUCUUCCUUGCAGUGCCAGAACCAACAGGAGGAAAAGGUCGUGUGUAGAUCAUCUAAUUUUUAUCUCAGAAACAGAGAUUGUACCUUGCAUUUUUGAGAGAUUCUUCUGAUUUGUUGAGCUUUAAACAGUAUUAUCAAAUUGUAGGUGGUGCUAUUUCUCUUUGGCAUUAUAUUUCCAUUAAAUUAUGUCUUUUGAAAAUGAUGUGUCCUCACAGACUGACAGUGUCUUAACAUUCAUCUGGAAAA